rnacentral:rRNA from 1 species
UACGGAGGGUGCAAGCGUUAUCCGGAUUCACUGGGGUUAAAGGGUGCGUAGGUGGGCAGGUAAGUCAGUGGUGAAAUCUCCGGGCUUAACUCGGAAACCGCCAUUGAUACUAUCUGUCUUGAAUACCGUGGAGGUCAGCGGAAUAUGUCAUGUAGCGGUGAAAUGCUUAGAUAUGACAUAGAACACCAAUUGCGAAGGCAGCUGGCUACACGAAUAUUGACACUGAUGCACGAAAGCGUGGGGAUCAAACAGG